UAUAACCCUAAUACCCAAAUCACAGUUUCCUCUCAUCUCUUCACCUUCAUCACGACUGAAUCCUCCAUAACCCUAAUAUCCCUGUAAAGACUGCACACCAAUUCAUCACACCUCCGUCCACCACCAUGAGUUUUAUCAAUUGUGUACUUCGAUCACGAUUCAGUUCUGGUGAUCUACGCAGCCACCAUCACACUUUGCCGUAAACCUUUGUUCGAUGGAGCUUUGGGUCGUACCGUAACUACCAUUGCGCCAUCAGGAAAUUAGUUUGAAUUCUGUGAUAUUCAACACACCUAGCAAGAAUUUCAACGACUUAAAGCUCUAAAUUCAUUCACUAAGAAUGACACUGAAGAGUUCAUUGAUGAUCGUGAAUUAGCUCAACAGAAAGCUGAAGCAGCAGGUGCGUUUUUAUUAUAUAUACAUAUAGAUUUUUCCACUUUUCAAUUAUUAUAUAAAAGAAAAAUUUUGUAUUGAUUUCCCUCCCUUGUUUUGUAACCUUUGUUGUGACGUUAAUGCCUAUUACUGUGGUUUAAUUUUGAAAAAUAAUAGUUAUAACAAAGAUACAUUAGAUUUGGUGUGUGAGUGUGAGGAUCUGUUAUUAAAGGAGUUUGGAUUGUUGAAGAAGAACCCUUGAUAUAACAUCCAGUUGGCGGUGGUCAAGCCUAUCCGUGAGCCACAUGUAGCUGUCCAGAAAGUUGUUUAGGGUAAUCCUAAUCCUAGAAAUAUUUGUUGAAGCCAAAUCUUACACUUAUCUAUACACUGAUGAAGAAAAUGAUACGAUUGUGCUAAUGGAAAGGCAAUACCAGCCGCCAAUGGGAAUGAUAGGUAACCAAUCUUACGCUCUGGUAUGCAUCAUCUGAAUGUUGAUGACACUGAUCAUACUUCAAGAGCAACCACCAUGGCAUUUCAGGUACAUUAUUCUUUUUUUAACUAUUUAAAACAUUUUUCCCUUUUUUUACAUUACAAAUUAUACUAACUUUUCUAUUCUAGAGCUCGUAUGUGGAAGCUCUCCAAUCCCCAAUUUCCUUAUGUAUUAUAAUUUUCAUAUGCCAACAGUACCCCAGGCCCAAAGAUCUUAGUGAAGUUGCAUGGUUGAAUUGGGAUGGUAUGUCAUGUGUUUGUAUCAUUUUUGUAUAUAUGAGAACGUAUCACUAAAAUCACA